AAAUAUUGAGACACAAAAAUUUACAUCAGAGGAGCUUGUGCUGCCAAAACAUCAUCACAUGUUCCACCAAAGAGUUUACAGUUUUAAAGGUAGUGAUGCUAGAACUUCUUGUUUUGGGAUAACUAAUCUAAAUCAGCUGUUAAAAUGUCAAAGCUGCUAACCAAAAAGAACCAUCAAGCUGAACUAAAUCAGGGGAGAAGUGAGGAGGAAGGAGAAGGAGGUCAGUAACGUGGCAACUUCAACGCAAACAGAAGAGCUGCAUUUAUCAAACAUUCCCUGAAGUGUGGUAGAAGACAGGAAGAAUGACACUUGCUAAUUUGAAUUUCAGAACACACCUAAACCAUAUUCUGAUCUCCAGAUAUCAGAUUGAGACACAGUCUGGUCAACCAAAAUUUAGAAGUCUGAAUUCCUCAUAGAGUCAGUGAAAAGGGGUAAGCACCUCUGAAGGGUGACUUGUGCAAACUGUCAAGUGGGAGAUUAUGAGUAUGUACCAUUGUGUUUGCCUGCAGCCUAAAUAUAUCUGAUGAACAGUACUUCUAUCAGUUUCAUUGUAUGUUUACUAUUAGCAAUGCCAACUGGCAUAUUUUACGUAUGUGGCUUAAAGCAAAAAAUUUAAAGAAUUACCAGGAUUACUGGCAUGGAUACUUCACAG
rnacentral:lncRNA from 1 species